rnacentral:misc_RNA from 1 species
GCUCCGUUGGUGAACCAGCGGAGGGAUCAUUACCGAGUUUUUCUACUCCAAAACCCCUGUGAACUUAUACCUUUACUGUUGCUUCGGCGGGUUAACGCCCCGGAAGGCCCAAAAAGCCGCCGGAACCAGGCGCCCGCCGGGGGACCCAAACUCUUGUAUUUCUUACUUUGCAUGUCUGAGUGGAAUCAUAAACAAAUGAAUCAAAACUUUCAACAACGGAUCUCUUGGUUCUG